rnacentral:rRNA from 1 species
UACAGAGGUCUCAAGCGUUGUCCGGAUUUAUUGGGCGUAAAGAGCUCGUAGGCGGCUUGUCGCGUCGUUCGUGAAAACCCGGGGCUCAACUCCGGGCUUGCGGGCGAUACGGGCAGGCUAGAGUUCGGUAGGGGAGACUGGAAUUCCUGGUGUAGCGGUGAAAUGCGCAGAUAUCAGGAGGGACACCGGUGGCGAAGGCGGGUCUCUGGGCCGAUACUGACGCUGAGGAGCGAAAGCGUGGGGAGCGAACAGG